UGGUGGAGUGAUUUGUCUGGUUAAUUCCGUUAACGAACGAGACCUUAACUUGCUAACUAGUUCCUUGGUCAUUACUGGGGUAACUUCUUAGAGGGACUAUGGGAACGAAACCCAUGGAAGUUUGAGGCAAUAACA
rnacentral:rRNA from 1 species